rnacentral:ncRNA from 1 species
CCCGGCAGAUAGCGCGAUCACGCGCAUCCCCCGAAAGGGAAUCGGGUUAAGAUUUCCCGAGCCGGGAUGUGGCGGUUGACGGCGACGUACGGAAGUCCGGAGACGCCGGCGGGGGCCUCGGGAAGAGUUAUCUUUUCUGCUUAACGGCCUGCCAACCCUGGAAACGGUUCAGCCGGAGGUAGGGUCCAGUGGCCGGAAGAGCACCGCACGUCGCGCGGUGUCC